rnacentral:rRNA from 1 species
GACAGAGGGUGCAAACGUUGUUCGGAAUUACUGGGCGUAAAGCGUGUGUGGGCGGUCCGCUAAGUCGGGUGUGAAAGCCCUGGGCUCAACCCAGGAAGUGCACUCGAAACUGGCGGGCUAGAGUACUGGAGAGGUUGGUGGAAUUCUCGGUGUAGAGGUGAAAUUCGUAGAUAUCGAGAGGAACACCGGUGGCGAAGGCGGCCAACUGGACAGAUACUGACGCUGAGACACGAAAGCGUGGGGAGCAAACAGG